GUUGUGUGUUGAUGGUGUUCAGCACCAAGGACAGGUUUUGUUGUGUGUUGAUGGUGUUCAGCACCAAGGACAGGUUUUGUUGUAU
rnacentral:pre_miRNA from 1 species